UGGCACCGCUGAACUAAAUCCCUGGCCCUGACAAAGCAAGUUUUUAAAAGAAAAGAGAUGCGUGUUCUUCUUCUUAGUAAACCACCCUGAGAUUCGGAGGGGACCCAGUGCAAGAGGAUUUUCUGACGUGAGAGGUGCUUUGCUACUCCCAUCCCACUCUCCACCGUCCACAGUCACACCUUUGGGAACUUGCUCAUCUGACAUCCAGCCCA
rnacentral:lncRNA from 1 species